CAAUAGCGUAUAUUAAAGUUGUUGCGGUAAAAAAGCUCGUAGUUGGAUUUCUACCGAAGAUAGCCGGUCGGGUCUUCGACCUUGUAUCUGGUUUUGUCUUUGGUAUCCUCAUAGGGAACGUUUCUGCGCUUUAUUGCGUGGUGCGGUAUCUAUGACUUUUACUUUGAGGAAAUUAGAGUGUUCACGGCAGACAAACGCCUUGAAUAUAUUAGCAUGGAAUAAUAACAUAGGAUCUUCGUCCUAUUUUGUUGGUUUCUAGGGCUAAGAUAAUGAUUAAUAGGGAUAAUUGGGGGCAUCUGUAUCAACGCGUCAGAGGUGGAAUUCUUGGAUUGCGUUGCGACAAACUACUGCGAAAGCAUUUGCCAAGGAUGUUUUCAUUGA
rnacentral:rRNA from 1 species